rnacentral:tRNA from 1 species
GGAGGGGUGGCAGAGCGGUUGAAUGCACUGGUCUUGAAAACCAGCGAGGGCGAAAGUCCUCCGAGAGUUCGAAUCUCUCCUCCUCCGCCA